rnacentral:lncRNA from 1 species
AUAUAUCCCUUAUAUAUGUAUGCAAAAGACAGAUGGAGCUCUCCCCUACAUUUUCCUUUGGUAAUAUGAUAAAUAUGUUGAUUUUAACCUUAGUGUCUUCUCAGUAUUUACCCACUUAAGUUACACAGUUAAAGACUUAUAUCCACGUAAGUUACACAGCUAAAGACUUAUAAAAACCAACAAGUAUACUAAUGAAAUGACUUAUAUUUUUGAAAUGUCACAGAUAAUCAAAAUCUAGUGAAACCACACUUAAAUUUUUUUUUCCACUACAGGGGUGCUCUACCACUGAGCUACAUAUCCAGCCCUUUUUAUUUUUUGAGACAGGGUCUUGCUAAGGUAUUGGCCUUAAACAUGUAAUCCACCUUCUUCAGCUUCCCAAGUUGCUGGAAUUACAGGUGUGCACCACAGUACCUGACUAUACACUUUCAUUAUUGUAGCUGAGUCUGUGGUUCACCAUUUGGAUGUUUUGUUUCUAUUUGGAUAAUCAUUGAAACUUAAGACAAUUUAUAUUAUUCUUACUCCUUAAUCCAGUGUAUUCAUAUAACUAUAUCCUGAGAUGGUUCCUUUUUUUUUCUAAUAUAUUUUAUUUACAGAACCAUUUGUUUAAAAGAAGUCUACCUCCAACGAAAAUUCAAUAUUUAAAAAAACCAUUCUGACCGAGUAAGGGUGAGACACCCUCCCUACUGCCCCCAUAUCUUUCCUCCUCAUCCCUGACAUGUAAAACUUCUUUGGAACAAAGGAUACAGAGGCUGAAAAAACAUUGAGAACUGAUGGUUGCCAUAUUCUCAUUUUAAAAAUGAAAAAACUGAGGCCCAGAGGCAUUUCCAAAAUUAAAUAUCUAGUUAGUGUUAGUCCUCAAAACUGAGGCUGGAAUCUGGGACCUGAUUCCCCAGCACUGAGAUGGUUCCUUUUAUUUUCAACUUUUUACUGAAAUAUAGUUGAAAAGUGCACAAAAGCGUCAACAAUUUGAAUUUUUGUAAAUCACACAUACUUGUGUAACCAGCACCCAGAUCAAGAAACAACCGAGGGGGGGAAAAAAC